AUUGAUAAAUUGAUCAUUCAUUACAUUGGAAUUGAAAAUAAAACAGGAAAGUUCUUCACUCUUUGUUGAGUCAAUGUGUUUAUCCAGAAAACUAAUUAGUUGUCUUAAGAUUAACAACUCUUUGAUGAUCAAAGAUCACUUGAGUUUAUUUGUUUUCUUAAAGUUUACAUCAUUCCAAAGAUUCACAUUACAGCAAAUGUUUGUUGGGUUAAAAGUUUCACACAGGAUUUCGUCCUGAUUUUACUUUUAAUAUUCGCUUUAUUGUUGCAAUUUAAUCAAGGAAUCAGACAAUACUUGGUACUUUGCUGAAACAGUUCAUUUAAAGCCCACAAUUCAUGGAGUAAUCAAGAUACAAAAAUAUGACAUCGCGAUGCAAGUUUAUUACACUCCCUGAUUGCUUUGCUAUUCAGAUAACCGUCAGAUCGUUCAGAUCAUAAUUUAACCAAACUAUUGGCGGAAGUUCCUUUGAAAGUAAUUGAAAAAUCUUAUUCCAAUUCGAAUGGAAGGCGAUUCAACUAUUCCGAUAUUGAAUUUGCUGUUGUUGAUGUUACGAUUAGAGAUAGUAUACGCUUUAAUAAUCCAGAAAAGACGAAAUCAAACUCAACUUCCGCAUCUUUCAUCAUACUCUCCCUUAUUUCCAUUUUGAUCAAUAUUGUGAUAGAUAUUACGUUUGCAUUUGACUCUAAACUGUAUCAAUUCCGUACUUGUCCUCUUCAUAAUUGGGUUUCCUCAAGUUAUUUAUUAUAAAUCAAGCGUCAAUGAUUCCUUAAAAUAUUGUAAUAAAAAAGUCAGAAAUGUUUACUUAAAUUUUUUGCUUUUAAUAAAGUAUUUCUUUUAAA